rnacentral:tRNA from 1 species
GCCAUCGUAGCUCAGCUGGUAGAGCGCCACCAUGGUAAGGUGGAGGUCCCGGGUUCAAUCCCCGGCGUUGGCU